UAUUAAAAAUUUUAUCCAUUUCUACAAUUGAAAUUAGUGCGUCUAAAAGAAUAAUUAGAAAGUUACUUAUGGUGUAUCGCGUGCACCUCAUUUUCAUAGACAUAGACCAAUUUUUAACAGUAGAAGCAGAUGAAAUUUUUAACA
rfam:Gossypium hirsutum cultivar TM-1 chromosome 5, whole genome shotgun sequence